AACGCGAAGAACCUUACCUGGGCUCGAACGGCUUAAGAACGACUGUAGAAAUAUGGUUUUCCCGCAAGGGACUUGAGUCGAGGUGCUGCAUGGCUGUCGUCAGCUCGUGUCGUGAGAUGUUGGGUUAAGUCCCGCAACGAGCGCAACCCUUGUCCUGUGUUGCUAACAUUCAGUUGAGCACUCGCAGGAGACCGCCAGGGAUAACCUGGAGGAAGGUGGGGAUGACGUCAAGUCCUCAUGGCCUUUAUGUCCAGGGCUACACACGUGCUACAAUGGACGGUACAAAGGGCUGCCAACCCGCGAGGGGGAGCCAAUCCCAAAAAACCGUUCUCAGUUCGGAUUGCAGGCUGCAACUCGCCUGCAUGAAGCUGGAAUCGCUAGUAAUGGUGGAUCAGAACGCCACCGUGAAUACGUUCCCGGGCCUUGUACACACCGCGCAUA
rnacentral:rRNA from 1 species